CGAGGUAAGAAGAAAUUGUCGUUUCUCACCUUACAGCAAGGCUAGUAAGGUUAAAUACGCUUGGUACUUUUAUUAGUAAUAGUGUAUGUUGCGGACGGCAGUGCUGUCCGUUUUAUUUUUUAUAU
rfam:Clostridium tepidiprofundi DSM 19306 CLTE_contig000002, whole genome shotgun sequence.